GCCAGCUUGGCCGAGUGGUUAAGGUACGUUUUGGUUAAGAACUUUGCUUCAUUUCGUACUAAUUUUUCUAGGCGAUAGACUUAAGUUCUAUUAUCAUCUUGAUGCGCGGGUUCGAAUCCCGCAGCUGGUA